UUUGCGAUCUCCUUUGUACAUUAUACAUGUUAUAAUUUUAUAACAUGUAUGUUUUGUCGUGUAUGUCGUCCAAUAUCGACCACCAAAUUGUCGUCCAGUAUCAAUCAAUCAACCGCCAAAAUCAAAUUUCUUUUAUUUAAAGAAGGAAAGUGACAUAGGAGAGCGAGAAUACGGCUUUGAGGCUGCUCCAAUGUUCCAAAAACGACAAAUGUGAAGUUUAGGCACACGACAAAUGCAGAAACCAAAAAAAUAUUAAUUACGUUACUUGUGAUUGUAAAAAUAAAAUUUGAAUAAAAGUGUGUAUUCUAACAUCUAAA